GAUGAACGCUGGCGGCGUGCCUAAUACAUGCAAGUCGAGCGGACGGACGAGAAGCUUGCUUCUCUGAUGUUAGCGGCGGACGGGUGAGUAACACGUGGAUAACCUACCUAUAAGACUGGGAUAACUUCGGGAAACCGGAGCUAAUACCGGAUGAUCUUUUGAACCGCAUGGUUCAAAAGUGAAAGACGGUCUUGCUGUCACUUAUAGAUGGAUCCGCGCUGCAUUGGCUAGUUGGUAAGGUAAUGGCUUACCAAGGCAACGAUGCAUAGCCGACCUGAGAGAGUGAUCGCCGACACUGGAGCUGAGACACGGUCCAGACUCCUACGGGAGGCAGCAGUCGGCAAUCUUCCGCAGUGGGCGAAAGCCUGGCGGAGCAGCCCCGAGUGAGAGACGGAGGUCUUCGGAUCGUAAAACUCUGUUAUUGGGGAAGAACAGAUGUGUACUUAACUGUGCACAUCUUGACGGUACCUGAUCAGAAAGCCACGGCUAACUACGUG
rnacentral:rRNA from 1 species